UGGUCAAGUUAUUAAGGGUGCAGGGCGGAUGCCUUGGCACUAGGAGCCGAUGAAGGACGUGAUAAGCUGCGAUAAGCUUCGGGGAGUUGCACGUAAACUUUGAUCCGAAGAUUUCCGAAUGAGGAAACUCACUUAGAGUAAUGUCUAAGUAUCAUUAAGUGAAUACAUAGCUUAAUGAGGGGAACUCAGGGAACUGAAACAUCUAAGUACCUGAAGGAAGAGAAAGAAAUUCGAUUCCGUAAGUAGCGGCGAGCGAACGCGGAUUAGCCCAAACCAAUAAAGUUUUCUUUAUUGGGGUUGCGGACAUAUCAUAACGAAGAGGUAUCGUAAUUGAAGAGGUUUGGAAAGACCCACCACAGAAGGUAAUAGUCCUGUAUGUUAAACGAGAAGACUUCAGAUAUGAUCCAGAGUACCACGGGACACGUGAAACCCUGUGGGAAGCAGGAGGGACCACCCUCCAAGGCUAAAUACUACCUAGUGACCGAUAGCGUAUAGUACCGUGAGGGAAAGGUGAAAAGAACCCCGGGAGGGGAGUGAAAUAGAACCUGAAACCCUGCACUUACAAGCUGUGGAAGCACAUUUCUUGUGUGACCGCGUACUUUUUGUAGAACGGGCCAACGAGUUACGUUAAGUAGCAAGGUUAAGCACUUAAGGUGCGGAGCCGUAGCGAAAGCGAGUUUUAACUGAGCGUUCAGUUACUUGACGUAGACCCGAAACCGGGCGACCUACCCAUGAGCAGGAUGAAGCGAAAGUAAAAUUUCGUGGAGGUCCGAACCCACGAGCGUUGAAAAGCUCGGGGAUGACUUGUGGGUAGCGGUGAAAUUCCAAUCGAGCCCGGAGAUAGCUGGUUCUCCCCGAAAUAGCUUUAGGGCUAGCCUCAAGGUGAGAGAUACGGAGGUAGAGCACUGAAUGUCCUAGGGGGUAUUGCACCUACCGAAGACUAUCAAACUCCGAAUGCCGUCAUCUUAUACUUGGGAGUCAGACUGUGGGUGAUAAGAUUCAUAGUCGAAAGGGCAACAGCCCAGAUCGUCAGCUAAGGUCCCUAAAUGUAAGUUAAGUGGUAAAGGAUGUGGGAUUGCACAGACAACCAGGAUGUUGGCUUAGAAGCAGCCACUCAUUCAAAGAGUGCGUAAUAGCUCACUGGUCGAGUGAUCCUGCGCCGAAGAUUUCCGGGGCUAAAACUUACUACCGAAGCUACGGCAUCAGUAAUGAUGGGUAGGGGAGCUUCCCAUACGGGUUGAAGCAUGACCGUAAGGACAUGUGGACAGUAUGGGAGUGAGAAUGUUGGCAUGAGUAGCGAGAUGUGGGUGAGAAUCCCACAGGCCGUAAACCCAAGGUUUCCAGGGGAAGGUUCGUCCGCCCUGGGUUAGUCGGGACCUAAGCUGAGGCCGAAAGGCGUAGGUGAUGGACAACAGGUUGAUAUUCCUGUACUACCGAUAACCGUUUGAGAGAAGGGAUGACACAGUAGGAUAAGCUAAGCACACUGUUGGUUAUGUGUGCCCAAGCAUUGAGGCAGUCAAAGUAGGCAAAUCCGCUUUGAUAAUGCUGGGAUGUGAUGGGGAGCGAAAUUUAGUAGCGAAGUAGCUGAUUUCACACUGUCAAGAAAAGUCUCUAUCGAGGUUAAAGGUACCCGUACCGCAAACCGACACAGGUGGGUGAGGAGAGUAUCCUAAGGCCAGCGAGAGAACUGUUGUUAAGGAACUCGGCAAAAUGACCCCGUAACUUAGGGAUAAGGGGUGCCACCAUCAGGUGGCCGCAGAGAAUAGGCCCAAGCGACUGUUUACCAAAAACAUAGGUUUCUGCUAAGUCGCAAGACGAUGUAUAGGAGCUGACGCCUGCCCGGUGCUGGAAGGUUAAGGGGAUCUGUUAGAGCAAUCGAAGCAGUGAACUUAAGCCCCAGUAAACGGCGGCCGUAACUAUAACGGUCCUAAGGUAGCGAAAUUCCUUGUCGGGUAAGUUCCGACCCGCACGAAAGGCGUAACGAUUUGGGCACUGUCUCAACAACAGACUCGGUGAAAUUGUAAUUCCGGUGAAGAUGCCGGAUACCUGCGACAGGACGGAAAGACCCCAUGGAGCUUUACUGUAGCUUGACAUUGGGUCUUGGUACUACAUGUACAGGAUAGGUGGGAGGCUUUGAAACCAGGACGCCAGUUUUGGCGGAGCCAUCCUUGGGAUACCACCCUUGUAGUACUGGGACUCUAACCAUAGGCCAUGAAUCUGGUCUUGGGACACUGUCAGGUGGGCAGUUUGACUGGGGCGGUCGCCUCCCAAAAGGUAACGGAGGCGCUCAAAGGUUCUCUCAGUACGGUCGGAAAUCGUACGUAGAGUGUAAAGGCAAAAGAGAGCUUGAUUGCAAGACAUACAGGUCGAGCAAGGAUGAAAAUCGGACUUAGUGAUCCGGUGGUUCUGCGUGGAAGGGCCAUCGCUCAACGGAUAAAAGCUACCCUGGGGAUAACAGGCUUAUCUCCCCCAAGAGUCCACAUCGACGGGGAGGUUUGGCACCUCGAUGUCGGCUCAUCACAUCCUGGGGCUGUAGUAGGUCCCAAGGGUUGGGCUGUUCGCCCAUUAAAGUGGUACGCGAGCUGGGUUCAGAACGUCGUGAGACAGUUCGGUCCCUAUCCGUCGCAGGCGUAGGAAAUUUGAGAAGACCUGUCCUUAGUACGAGAGGACCGGGAUGGACGUACCUCUGGUGUACCAGUUGUCCUGCCAAGGGCAUGGCUGGGUAGCUAUGUACGGAAUGGAUAAGCGCUGAAAGCAUCUAAGCGCGAAGCCAACUUCAAGAUAAGAUUUCCCACCGCAAGGGUAA
rnacentral:rRNA from 1 species